UCUAGCAUUGACCCUGUACGGAUUGCCCAACUAUGGUUUGCAUGCCCUGAUGAAGGAACCUAUCAUGCGGCUAGAUGGUUGGAGCUCGUGGUCGACAGUGGUGAAAAAUCAAUGACGAGACCUUCAUGCUGCCCGUCUCUGCAUGAUUGAUGAAGGCAAAGAGCUCCGUCGGGUCUUUAAAAAAAUGGUGGGUGGGGAAGCGAAACCUAAUGUGUGAUAGGGAAAGGGGGAGAUAUUGCUUUUUUCACCCAAUCUGUCCAAUUUAUCACCUCUAAAUGUAAAUAAAACAUGUCAUUACAUACCUAUUUGAAGGUUUGUGUCGAAUUUUAAUUGUGUUUUAGGGCGCUGCUAAAGUUAACAGCGGCUGUCGCGGCUUUUGAGAGUCAUGAUGGCUUGCAGUGAUGACGCAAAAAAUUAAUGCAUUCAGUUGUACAACUGACUAGGUAUCCAUCCCCCCUUACCCUGACCCCGUCCCUGUCCCUUUCUUGUUUUUAAUCUGCAAGAGAAGUGCUACACCUGGUGGAGAGGCUGUACCACACAGAAUGAGUUGCAUUAUGCACGUUAUGGCAUGACAUGUCACAAUUUAAGGUACAGCGUGAGAGGGGUCCAUUUUUUUCUUCUAUCCUCUAUCCUUUGCUCAUGAAUGGAUGCCGGGACCUACCAGAAAGAGAAAAGAUGGGUAUCAUAACAUGUCCAGCAAUAGUUUCCUUGGACUCGUAUGAAUAGGAUAUGCCCUCAUGAGGCCUCUGAUAGAUCCCUGAUGAUGUAGAUGGCUUCAUCAACAAUUAUAGCUAAUGCAAAGACCUCACCUCCAGCCUCACAUCUUGCCUGCUCACCAACAGUCGUCGAUGGGGAGAAAAUAAUUAGAAACAUGUUUGGAGCCAGCACAGUCCAGACUGAUAGACAGGCUUCAUACUGAUGUCUCUGAAUGGAAAAAGACCAGGCAAUCGGCUUAAACAUUUUACUAGCCACAACCUUUACUUGUAUUGUCUUUUUUAAUUAUUGAAUUGAAUGGUAUCGGUCAAUAUGGGGAGAAACCCUUCGUAUUCUGCACCAAGAUACCACACAGGAAGGUAUGACCACUCUGACAUGUUUGCCAAGGUAGCCCUAUUACCACCAGACAAAAUGCAGAUAGGCACAGU